CUCCGCUGCCAUGAGAUGCCGACAGCCUGUGCGCUGGCCGCCACCCCCUGCUCCAUCAGGUGCUGGAAUCUGAGUAAAAGCCUGGGCGCGAGCUCUCAGCCCCGGGGCCUGCCACCGGCUCCACGAAGCGGGCAGCUCCAGCGGCCGCCGGGAGAAGGAAGGGCGACCGGGGGAGACGGGUCGCAGGGACAGCACGUGGCGGAAAGUUAGCCCCGGACUAGCACGCCCCACCCGGAGAAGCCGGCCUGGAAGGGGCUGCGGACCACCAGGCGGAGCGGUGGGCGACCGAAGUGCGGCUGGGCUGGCCUCCUCUGUCUCCGCACUGGAAGAAUUGCCCUUCCGCAAGUCUUCCCUGAAUCCACCACAGCCCUCCAGGCCCCUUUAAAUGUCGCCCACCGCUUCCCUUGAGAAGGGAGACUAAAGACAGGCAUCUGGAAGCUGUCACUGUGGCGCGCGGGCAGACAGGGGAUCCCAUUGGAGAGGAAGAGCCGUAGUAGUCGCUGCUGCCUUCGGCCGACCCAACGGCCGCCUGCUUGGGAGGAAGAAAAAGAACGCCCCCGCUGAAGAAUUAAGGCAGCCAUUGGUUGCUCUAGGGGUAAGGACCGAGGCCUCCCCUGGGUGUCACUGGAGCAGCCACACAUGGGGGAUCAGCCGACUUCAUUCGAUCGCUGGCGACAGACCCGGCGACCCGUAGGAAUGCGCGCUGGGGCUGCGGCUGGAGGGCGUGGCGACGGCAACAGGCGGGUGGCUCGAGUGGGUGCGACUCUGGGCGCGUGGGACUGAGAACUCCUCCGCCGUGGGGAAGAUUUUUUUCCCAGCAGAUGUUGGGGUGUUACUGCGUGUCUGAGGGGCCGGCGGAAUGGAGGGGUCCCGGUUCGUGCGGGGCAGCGAGGUGUGUCAGAUGAGCUGUGGAUCCCUGCGGCCCCACGUGGGCCGGAGAGGGGGGCCCACGACAACAAGCGAUUGAGGACAGCGAUGGACAGGGCGGGGAACCAGCUGGGUGGAAGCACAGGGAAAGUGUGGUGAGGAGGGAAGGGCUGUGAUCUGCCCUCGGUACGACGCCCCAAGGGACAGCCUGGCCUCCUGAAUUAGGGAAAAGACAACCCGUCUCUUUAGACUGGGGCGCCUCAGAGUCUGACCUGAGUCUUCAAACGCCCAGAUCCCCUGGGGCCUUGAGUCUCCCUUUCCCGCUGGCCCUGCCUCGCCUGCGCUUCAAGACUCCGACGCCCCCGCAGCCUUGGGCUAAGGGUCAGUCGUCCCCGGGCGCGGGUCCGGCUGCCCUGGAACUGAUGCUGGAUUUCGCUGGUAGGUGGGCGAGGGGCUUGGUCACCCGGUCUGAAUUCCACUGUCAGGACAGCUGUGGAACCGCCAGAGAAAAGUCUGGCCAUGAAAGAAAGGGUUAUAAGAUGAGCAGUACAAUAGAGGAUGGACUGGAGUUGGAAAAGACUAAAGCAGCAAGUUUGAUAAGGAGGCUACAGCAAUAGUCCAGGUGAAAGACGCAAGAGCCCAAAAUGCGGCAGUGGCCAAGGGAAUGGAUCUGAGAUAAAGUUCAGAAGAUAGAGUUGGCAGGGCAGGUGAGGAGAAGAGAAGAAGGCCACAUGAAGAUGGAGCAAGAGAUUGGAGUGAUGUGGCCACAAGCCAAGGAAGCUGACGAAUGAAGACAGCUGUCAGAAGCUGGAAGAGGAAAAGGAUUCUCUCUUGGGGUCUCCAGAGGGAGAACAGCCCUGCCAACACUUCCAUUUCCAAUGUCUGGACUCUAGAACUGUGAGAAAAUAAAUUCCCAUUAUUUUAAGGAACACAGUUUGUGAUACUGCAUUACAGCAGCUCCAUGAAACAAAUACAUUUUGUUAUUCCAAGUCCUCUUCACAACAAAGUCUUUGCUAGUG
rnacentral:lncRNA from 1 species